rnacentral:rRNA from 1 species
UACAGAGGGUGCGAGCGUUGUCCGGAAUCACUGGGCGUAAGGGGCGCAUAGGUGGCCCGACAAGUCAGUGGUGAAAGUUCGACGCUUAACGUCGAAUCGGCCACUGAUACUGUUGGGCUGGAGCACUGUAGAGGCUCAUGGAAUUCCGGGUGUAGCGGUGGAAUGCGUAGAGAUCCGGAAGAACACCGGUGGCGAAGGCGGUGAGCUGGGCAGUUGCUGACACUGAGGCGCGACAGCGUGGGGAGCAAACAGG